CUCCGGUUGAUCCCGCCGGACCUGACUGCUAUCGGAUUGGUACUAAGCCAUGCGAGUCGUUGUAGCAAUACAAGGCGGACGGCUCAGUAACACGUAGUCAACCUAACCUAUGGACGUGGAUAACCUCGGGAAACUGAGAAUAAACCGCGAUAGAUCAUUAUGCCUGGAAUGGCUUAUGGUUCAAACAAUUUAUUGCCGUAGGAUGGGACUGCGGCCUAUCAGCUUGUUGGUGAGGUAAUGGCCCACCAAGGCUAUAACAGGUACGGGCUCUGAGAGGAGAAGCCCGGAGAUGGGUACUGAGACACGGACCCAGGCCCUAUGGGGCGCAGCAGGCGAGAAACCUUAGCAAUGUGCGAAAGCACGACUAGGUUAAUCCGAGUGAUUUCUGUUGAAGAAAUCUUUUGUCAGUCAUAAAACCACAGACGAAUAAGGGGUGGGCAAGUCUGGUGUCAGCCGCCGCGGUAAUACCAGCACCUCGAGUGGUCAGGAGGUUUAUUGGGCCUAAAGCAUCCGUAGCCGGCUACGCAAGUCUCCGGUUAAAUCCAGCUGCUCAACAGAUGGGCUGCCGGAGAUACUACAUAGCUAGGGAGCGGGAGAGGCAGACGGUAUUCUGUGGGUAGGGGUAAAAUCCUUUGAUCCAUAGAGGACCACCAGUGACGAAGGCGGUCUGCCAGAACGCGUUCGACGGUGAGGGAUGAAAGCUGGGGGAGCAAACCGGAUUAGAUACCCGGGUAGUCCCAGCUGUAAACGAUGCAAACUCGGUGAUGCAUUGGCUUAUGGCCAAUGCAGUGCCGCAGGGAAGCCGUUAAGUUUGCCGCCUGGGAAGUACGGACGCAAGUCUGAAACUUAAAGGAAUUGGCGGGGGAGCA
rnacentral:rRNA from 1 species